UGAGGAAUAUUGGACAAUGGGUGAGAGCCUGAUCCAGCCAUCCCGCGUGAAGGACGACGGCCCUAUGGGUUGUAAACUUCUUUUGUACAGGGAUAAACCUACCCUCGUGAGGGUAGCUGAAGGUACUGUACGAAUAAGCACCGGCUAACUCCGUGCCAGCAGCCGCGGUAAUACGGAGGGUGCAAGCGUUAUCCGGAUUUAUUGGGUUUAAAGGGUCCGUAGGCGGAUCUGUAAGUCAGUGGUGAAAUCUCACAGCUUAACUGUGAAACUGCCAUUGAUACUGCAGGUCUUGAGUAAAUUUGAAGUGGCUGGAAUAAGUAGUGUAGCGGUGAAAUGCAUAGAUAUUACUUAGAACACCAAUUGCGAAGGCAGGUCACUAAGAUUUAACUGACGCUGAUGGACGAAAAGCGUGGGGAGCGAACAGGAUUAGAUACCCUGGUAGUCCACGCCGUAAAACGAUGCUAACUCGUUUUUGGGUUUUUCGGAUUCAGAGACUAAGCGAAAGUGAUAAGUUAGCCACCUGGGGAGUACGUUCGCAAGAAUGAAACUCAAAUGAAUUGAC
rnacentral:rRNA from 1 species